GUUUCGAACUGAUUGACAAGCCUUUAUAAGGAUGCGCAUCUGCCAAAACAAUCUUGCGUGUUUUGCGAAUAUAAAAUUCAUCAAAAAUUAUGGAGCUUCCUCAAGCAAAAAGAAAGGUUUCUGCCGUGUGGGACCACUUUGAUGUCAUUUCGGAAAAUAAGAUGACCUUUGGGAACAUUUUGAUCUCGAAGUGGGGAGGCAGACCAAAAGUGCCACAGCUGAUGCCAUCCUUGAGGUGCAGAGAUACAUGGCAGAGGGAAAUAUUGCGAGGUCCCAGGAUCCUCUUGUAUUUUGGAAAAACUAAAGGACGGUUUAUCCAAACCUCUUCCGCCUGGCCUUAAAAUUUUUGUGCACUCCAGCUUCAUCUGUGCCGUGUGAGCGGGUGUUUUCCACAGCUGGAGAACUAAUAUCAAAAAAGCGCAACAGACUGAAUUUCAAAACUUAUUUUUUUUAAUAAAAAUUUGUAAAAAAAAAAAAAAAA